rnacentral:misc_RNA from 1 species
GUGGUCAAGCGUGUGAAGAAAAGAGAGUUUGGUGAGUGAGUGAGACUAGAAAGUGAGUAUGUGGGUGUUGAGUCAAGAACGAACCGCGCGUGGAGACUCCUUGCAUGGUGUUAAAAAAUGGGUCGGAAUGUGUCGGUGACUCUCGUGUGCAUGCACAGUGCAAAGCCGCAAGGGUGGUGGUUCGGGUAUUGACUCAGGUCGACCCCUGAAUAUUGGCUCGAUUACUUAAAAAAACAGGGGACUUUCUAUUAAUCCAAUCCCUUAUCUUUCUUUUUAUUGGAUUGACUGAUGAU